AAACCAGCACCUCAAGUGGUCAGGAGGAUUAUUGGGCCUAAAGCAUCCGUAGCCUGUUCUGUAAGUUUUCGGUUAAAUCCAUUAGCUCAACUAAUGGGCCGCCGAAAAUACUGUAGAACUAGGGAGUGGGAGAGGUAGACGGUAUUCGGUAGGAAGGGGUAAAAUCCUUUGAUCUAUUGAGGACCACCUGUGGCGAAGGCGGUCUACCAGAACACGUUCGACGGUGAGGGAUGAAAGCUGGGGGAGCAAACCGGAGUAGAAACCCGGGUAGUCC
rnacentral:rRNA from 1 species